UAUUAGGAAAACCUUCUUUACUGAAAGGGUUGUUAGGCAUUGGAACGGGCUGCCCAGGGAAGUGUUUGAGUCACCAUCCCUGGAGGUCUUUAAAAGACGUUUAGAUGUAGAGCUUAGUGAUAUUGUUUAGUGGAGGACUAUUUAUCAUUAGGUCAGAGGUUGGACUUGGUGAUCUUGGAGGUCUCUUCCAACCCAGACUAUUCUGUGACUCCAUGAUUCUGUCAUUCUAUGAAGCUCAAGGAGGAGAA